GGAGGACUGUGGUUCAGUCGUAGAAUGUCUGCCUUGCACACAGGAGGUGCCAGGUUCAAGCCCUGGCAUUGCCA